ACAAAUAUCAUCCGCCAGGGACUACGAGCGUUACGUUAAAACCCAAAGGACUUGGCGGUGCUCAAACCCACCUAGAGGAGCCUGUUCUAUAACCGAUAAUCCACGUUAAACCUCACCAUCUCUUGCCUAAACCGCCUAUAUACCGCCGUCGCCAGCUUGCCUCUUGAGAGAUUAAAAGCAAGCCUAAUGGGUAUUACCCAAAACGUCAGGUCGAGGUGUAGCGAAUGAGAUGGAAUGAAAUGGGCUACAUUUUCUGAUACAGAAAAACACGAAAAGUGCCAUGAAAUAAGCACGACUGAAGGUGGAUUUAGCAGUAAAAAGGAAA
rnacentral:rRNA from 1 species